AACUCUCGGCGAACCGCAGAUUCGGGAUAAACCUUGCGCUUCCAGAUGCAUUUUGGUUUAUCAUGUUCAUCCAUUCGGUCCAUAUAACCGGUCUUAGACUGUGCGCAAGCAAUGAGUUGCGAAGGGUCCACAUAACCCUCCGAACAUGUCUCUUAAUCCUCUUCAGGCAAUAGUGAUGGUGGCCUAAGAUCCUCACAGAGACCCUCUAAAGCCUCCGUCCCUAGUGCGUUAAUUUUAGAAUCAUUCAAGGGUUUAACACCCGCAAUAUUCCUAAGCA
rnacentral:lncRNA from 1 species